rnacentral:rRNA from 1 species
GGGGAAUGCUUUACACAUGCAAGUCGAACGGCAGCACGGGAGCUUGCUCCUGGUGGCGAGUGGCGAACGGGUGAGUAACGCGUCGGAACGUACCGAGUAGGGGGGGAUAACGCAGCGAAAGCUGUGCUAAUACCGCAUACGCCCUGAGGGGGAAAGUGGGGGAUCGCAAGACCUCACGUUAUUCGAGCGGCCGACGUCUGAUUAGCUAGUUGGUGGGGUAAAGGCCUACCAAGGCGACGAUCAGUAGCGGGUCUGAGAGGAUGAUCCGUCACACUGGAACUGAGACACGGUCCAGACUCCUACGGGAGGCAGCUGUGGGGAAUUUUGGACAAUGGGGGCAACCCUGAUCCAGCCAUUCCGCGUGAGUGAAGAAGGCCUUCGGGUUGUAAAGCUCUUUCAGCCGGAACGAAACGGUACAUCUUAAUACGGUGUGCUAAUGACGGUACCGGCAGAAGAAGCACCGGCUAACUACGUGCCAGCAGCCGCGGUAAUACGUAGGGUGCGAGCGUUAAUCGGAAUUACUGGGCGUAAAGCGUGCGCAGGCGGAUUGUUAAGCAAGAUGUGAAAUCCCCGGGCUUAACCUGGGAAUGGCAUUUUGAACUGGCAGUCUAGAGUGUGUCAGAGGGGGGUGGAAUUCCACGUGUAGCAGUGAAAUGCGUAGAUAUGUGGAGGAACACCAAUGGCGAAGGCAGCCCCCUGGGAUAACACUGACGCUCAUGUACGAAAGCGUGGGUAGCAAACAGGAUUAGAUACCCUGGUAGUCCACGCCCUAAACGAUGUCAACUGGUUGUUGGGGGAGUGAAAUCCCUUAGUAACGAAGCUAACGCGUGAAGUUGACCGCCUGGGGAGUACGUCGCAAGAUUAAAACUCAAAGGAAUUGACGGGGACCCGCACAAGCGGUGGAUGAUGUGGAUUAAUUCGAUGCAACGCGAAAAACCUUACCUACCCUUGACAUGUCCAGAAUCCUGCAGAGAUGCGGGAGUGCCCGAAAGGGAAUUGGAACACAGGUGCUGCAUGGCUGUCGUCAGCUCGUGUCGUGAGAUGUUGGGUUAAGUCCCGCAACGAGCGCAACCCUUAUCAUUAGUUGCUACGCAAGGGCACUCUAAUGAGACUGCCGGUGACAAACCGGAGGAAGGUGGGGAUGACGUCAAGUCCUCAUGGCCCUUAUGGGUAGGGCUUCACACGUCAUACAAUGGUCGGUACAGAGGGUUGCCAAGCCGCGAGGUGGAGCCAAUCCCAGAAAGCCGAUCGUAGUCCGGAUUGUUCUCUGCAACUCGAGAGCAUGAAGUCGGAAUCGCUAGUAAUCGCGGAUCAGCAUGUCGCGGUGAAUACGUUCCCGGGUCUUGUACACACCGCCCGUCACACCAUGGGAGUGGAAUCUGCCAGAAGUAGGUAGCCUAACCGCAAGGAGGGCGCUUACCACGGUGGGUUUCAUGACUGGGGUGAAGUCGU